CGCCAUGCUCUGCGGCAGGGUAUAUAUCUUCAUGUUGAGCUCCCACUCCAGCCGCCCAGUGCGCUGGAGGAACACAAUAUGUCUCAUUUCAGCCAACGGCACUCCCGGGGGACCAGCUGUGAGUUCCGAACUCACAACUUCAGAUUAAUUUACAUCUUGUCUCUGGAAUUUAAACUCCAGACUUGCCAGUUGUCUAGCCCGGUCCUUUAUCAACUUGAGCUACGCCGGUAUGUGUGAAGGUGUCGGUGUGUGCAGUUGUAAAUUACAAGUAUGUGACCGGGCCUUACACUGGCCAGGGGCUGCUGCCUAGCCCCAGCGGAAAGACCGCCUAAGAGUGUGUGUGUGUGUAUGUGUGUGUAUGUGUGUGUAUGUGUGUGUAUGUGUGUGUAUGUGUGUGUAUGUGUGUGUAUGUGUGUGUAUGUGUGUCUGUGUGUGUCUGUGUGUGUCUGUGUGUGUCUGUGUGUGUCUGUGUGUGUCUGUGUGUGUCUGUGUGUGUAUGUGUGUGUCUGUGUGUGUCUGUGUGUGUCUGUGUGUAUGUGUGUCUGUGUGUCUGUGUGUGUAUGUGUGUGCAUGUGUGUGUAUGUGUGUGUAUGUGUGUGUAUGUGUGUGUAUGUGUGUGUAUGUGUACACAUGUGUGUAUGUGUGUUACACAUUCUGGAGUUGCGUUACUCUCCAAAGGCGUAACCUGCGGGCCACACAUACCUGGAGCCCUGAGGGGCCCCAAGGGCCAGUAAUCUAGAGGGCUGUCCGAAAUGGAUAAAAACGCAAAAGGAAUCGUAAGACUAUUAUCCUAUCACUCAACACUAGGAAAGAGAAGGCGGCACUAUUUCACACUAAUU
rnacentral:lncRNA from 1 species